GCCCGGGUGGCAGAGUGGCGAUGCGUCCGACUGCAGAUUGGAGCAUGUGAGUUCGAUUCUCACCCCGGGCU
rnacentral:tRNA from 1 species